UACGGGGGGGGCAAGCGUUGUUCGGAAUUACUGGGCGUAAAGGGCGCGUAGGCGGCCAUCUAAGUCAGACGUGAAAUCCCUCGGCUUAACCGGGGAACUGCGUCUGAUACUGGUUGGCUUGAAUCCGGGAGAGGGAUGUGGAAUUCCAGGUGUAGCGGUGAAAUGCGUAGAUAUCUGGAGGAACACCGGUGGCGAAGGCGGCAUCCUGGACCGGUAUUGACGCUGAGGUGCGAAAGCGUGGGGAGCAAACAGG
rnacentral:rRNA from 1 species